rnacentral:lncRNA from 1 species
CUAACCUAUCUUCUUAUCAUAUUAAUUUCUAACUCUUUGUUUUUCCCUGGGUUUAGCGAGGAGCUCUGUCUUGGGUCCCAGAGGAGUCCCAGCUGCUGGAGAGAUGUCAGGGUCUGGAGGUCUCCAGGGCAAAGGAAGUAGAAGUUACUGUGGGACAAGAUCCAGAAUAUUUGUGAGACUGGUUUCAGCUCAAGAUUGGAAGUCAUGAAAAAAAUGCAAUAUCAACUGAAGACUUCUUACUUAGGAAUCUUCACUGAAGAGUCUUCACAUAGAUAUUUGUUGUGCAGAAGGAAUAGUAGACAUCUGGGCCACGUUCUUUGCUUUUCCCUCAGCCUUUUGCAGUUCUGUGUCCUCUCAGUCAGACCUACAUAAAAUAUGCCAGUGCCUCUGCUUUGAGUAAUGCUUCUAACUGUUGGGGAAAAAAAAUGUAAUUUAUUUAGGUUACAUCUGCUAUAUAGAUAGAUCACAUAUCUUGCCACAUGUUUCAGAUGUCUUAACAUUUGGUACAUUAGGUGAAACCAGGCCAACAUCUGUGAGUAUUAGAUCUUGCUAGACUUUGAUUGCUGAUGUACAGAGAGUAGGGUUUGCUCGUUGACCACCUCUGUUCAUCCAGAAGCUGCUCAGAGACCCUUUCCAGAGUGAGGGGUACUGGUUUUGUG